GUCGGUAACAACUUGCCUUAUGGAAAGUUUAAAUUAAAUUAUGACCGCUUAAAUUUAUUAUUAAGGUGAUUCUUCGCAACGCGAACCAAAUGUGGCUUUUAAAAUUAAUUAAGUAUAUUCUUGGUAUGUACUAUAAUAUGUUCCUUAUUAAUGUUUAUAUAACAAGCAAAUACUUGCAAAGAUGUACUAAUUUUUUAACUGUUUUAUACCUAUAAAAAAACCUAUAUUGCUAUAGUUAACUUAAUGAGAGAAUGACCCAAGGCCAAGAUAAUAUUAUGUAUAUAGCACGUACGUUAUAUAUUAAAUUAAGGGGACAAAUUUGCGGCUUCUCUCGAGAAAAACAACUCGCUUACACCCAAUGGAAAGUCACACGCGAGUCAGAGAAUAAACCAGAAUAAAAUUCUAUUUUUGUAUUAUCUAUGUACACUUGUAUAUAAGGGAGUUGUAGCCCAAAUCGUUUGUUUAGUGUGUUAAAUAUUAUCGGUAUGGCGACCCUUAAAAAACGCUUUGUAAUUUUCCUGGUGACAGCCCUGUUGAUAAACAUAAUAUUAGGUGAAGAGCAAGAAGAAACUACCAGCGAGCGUCAUGUGAAAGAAAGAAAACAACAGAUAAUCCAAAACCCGUUCUCUCCCUUUGCUAUACCCAUUUUUGUGGAGGAGGAAGAGGAGUCGAAAAGUGAAGAUUCUUCAGGGUCCAAGGCGGAUAACAGUUAAAAUAUUUUAAUAUAAAUGUUUUCAAUAAUAAUAAUUAAAGUUUAAAAAUACGUAUGAA